AUCUGUCAAAGGAAAAGUGUGUAGCCGCUAUUAACGUAUUUGAGUUUAUUUGUGUUUAGUGUAGUGUUAUUUUCAUCUUAUUGUUGUGUAGUUUUUAUGUAUGGACAUUUAUUUGGUGCUAAGACAUGGUUAGAAAGUGUGUUAUUUGUUUAAAAAUUGCGAGCAGUGGUCUUUUUUGACAGAUUUCCUAAGAAUAUGGAACGGAGAAACUUGUGGAAGCUUUCCCUAGGUGAUGUCAAUAUUACCGACAACAUUUUUGUUUGUUCUGAUAAUUUUGCGAUGAAUGAUUUUCUGACAAAGCCAUCAGGUAUAAAGUACUUCGAGAGACAACUAUUCCAAUAAUAGCUUCUACUUAUAUUGAUUAAAAUAUACAAAUCAGACAGUUCUAAUAAGGAAAAUAUUUCUCUAAAUGAUGUUUCUACGGAACAGUCAUUGCACUUGCCGCAACAAAAACCAGAAAGUAUAUCCACAUGUUCAUCGCCAUCGACACUGCUGACUGCUCAAUCAGGCUUGUUAUCUACUGCAAAUAUGGCUACAGAUCUUUCUGAAAUAUAUUUGAAAUUUGGUGACACAUCACCAAAACAUUGAUCAGUUUUAACUGCAUCAAAAAUAGGAAUGGAUUAACCCAAUCGUAAUAA